rnacentral:rRNA from 1 species
CACUCCUGCGGGAGGCAGCAGUGGGGAAUAUUGGACAAUGGGCGCAAGCCUGAUCCAGCCAUGCCGCGUGAGUGAUGAAGGCCCUAGGGUUGUAAAGCUCUUUCACCGGAGAAGAUAAUGACGGUAUCCGGAGAAGAAGCCCCGGCUAACUUCGUGCCAGCAGCCGCGGUAAUACGAAGGGGGCUAGCGUUGUUCGGAAUUACUGGGCGUAAAGCGCACGUAGGCGGAUCGAUCAGUCAGGGGUGAAAUCCCAGGGCUCAACCCUGGAACUGCCUUUGAUACUGUCGAUCUGGAGUAUGGAAGAGGUGAGUGGAAUUCCGAGUGUAGAGGUGAAAUUCGUAGAUAUUCGGAGGAACACCAGUGGCGAAGGCGGCUCACUGGUCCAUUACUGACGCUGAGGUGCGAAAGCGUGGGGAGCAAACAGGAUUAGAUACCCCGGUAGUCCC